rnacentral:lncRNA from 1 species
CAUGAAAAUAUUGGAAGAUCUUCUCAUUGACAAUCAUAUUGUUUUAGAAGUAUAUAUCCUAUAUAUGGGUAAUUGAUAAUAUCUAACGAACUAAAUCUUAUUCGAGUUCGUUCUUCUCCUAAUGGAGAAAUAUAUUAUCUUAUGAUGCUAUUUUCCUUGAUAUCUUUCAAGGAAACUUAUCUAAAGUGUUACCUUUCUUGGAUCAAAUCUAAGGAGGUAAAUACUUUAGAUGUCUUACUCAUCAACUUACAUUACUUGAAUUCUUUGAAACAUUUUGCAAAGUAUUCGGACUUGUGUUUAUUCAAAAUAAACUAUAGUCCAACCGAGAGUGAUCUUCGGUGAAUGUCAAUCAACAUGAGUAGUAUUUAUGUUUGUGGACAAGUGCCACUAACAUCUAAGUGAAUUAACCUCAACAACUUUGUGAUUCUUUCUUCUUUCCAAAAGAAUAAAGAUUCGAACAUUUCGCCUCCAUACAAUUUUAACAAGAAGGUAUUGGAUCCGGAUCUAACGAUCCAAAGCGUCCAUUUAUGACCAACUCGUAAUUUAUGUUUUGGAGGUAUCACAACUUUAGUUGGGAUUAGUCACUACCUUGCAACCUUUUGGGUUUUAAGCAUCAUUAUUUUCUAAACAGUUAACACUACCAUAUUAUCUCUACUAUAGAGAUAAUUAAUUAGAUUACCAUAAUCUAAUCAUUGAUUAAUAAAGAACAUUGUUUUGUCAAACAAAACAUUUAUCCAUU